rnacentral:sRNA from 1 species
GCUGGGCAUGGUGGCACACACCUGUAAUCCUAAUGGCUCAGGAGGCUGAGGCAGGAGGAUUGCAAGUUUAAAGCCAGCCUCAGCAACUUAGUGGGGCCCUAAGCAUCUUAGUGAGACCCUGUCUCAA